CGGCGGACGGGUGAGUAACACGUGGGUAACCUACCUAUAAGACUGGGACAACUUCGGGAAACCGGAGCUAAUACCGGAUAAGAUAUCGAACCGCAUGGUUCGAUAGUGAAAGAUGGUUUUGCUAUCAUUUAUAGAUGGACCCGCGCCGUAUUAGCUAGUUGGUGAGGUAACGGCUCACCAAGGCAACGAUACGUAGCCGACCUGAGAGGGUGAUCGGCCACACUGGAACUGAGACACGGUCCAGACUCCUACGGGAGGCAGCAGUC
rnacentral:rRNA from 1 species